AGGAUGAGGCCUUCGGGUUGUAAACUUCUUUUGCCGAGGAAGAGAAUGGACGGUACUCGGCGAAUAAGUCACGGCUAACUACGUGCCAGCAGCCGCGGUAAUACGUAGGUGGCAAGCGUUGUCCGGAAUUAUUGGGCGUAAAGGGUCCGUAGGCGGCUUGGUAAGUUUCCUGUGAAAACUCCGGGCUCAACCCGGAGAGGUCGGGGAAUACUGCUGAGCUUGAGAAUGGCAGAGGUGAACGGAAUUCCCGGUGGAGCGGUGAAAUGCAUAGAUAUCGGGAGGAACACCAGUGGCGAAGGCGGUUCACUGGGCCAUUUCUGACGCUGAGGGACGAAAGCGUGGGGAGCAAAUCGGAUUAGAUACCCGAGUAGUCCACGCCCUAAACGAUGGAUGCUAGAUCUUUGGGGAGUUACACCCCUGGGGGUCAAAGCUAACGCAUUAAGCAUCCCGCCUGGGGACUACGGCCGCAAGGCUAAAACUCAAAGGAAUUGACGGGGGCCCGCACAAGCAGCGGAGCGUGUGGUUUAAUUCGAUGCAAAGCGAAAAACCUUACCCAGGCUUGACAUGUAGGUGGUACCGAACCGAAAGGGGACGGACCCUCCGGGGAGCCUACACAGGUGCUGCAUGGUUGUCGUCAGCUCGUGCCGUGAGGUCUUGGAUUAAGUUCCGCAACGAGCGCAACCCCCACCUUUAGUUGCUUUCUCUAAAGGGACUGCCCGUAAAACGGAGGAAGGAGGGGACGACGUCAAAUCAUCAUGGCUCUUACGUCUGGGGCCACUCACACGCUACAAUGGCCAACACAAACGGCCGCGAAACCGCGAGGUGGAGCUAAUCCGACCAAAGUUGGUCCAAGUGGGGAUUGCAGGCUGAAACCCGCCUGCAUGAACGCGGA
rnacentral:rRNA from 1 species